UAGGGAAUCUUCCUCAAUGGACGCAAGUCUGAUGGAGCAACGCCGCGUGAGUGAAGAAGGUCUUCGGAUCGUAAAACUCUGUUGUUAGAGAAGAACACGAGUGAGAGUAACUGUUCAUUCGAUGACGGUAUCUAACCAGCAAGUCACGGCUAACUACAUGCCAG
rnacentral:rRNA from 1 species